GUUUGAUCCUGGCUCGAAUGAACGCUGGCGGCAGGCCUAACACAUGCAAGUCGAACGGAGUUAUAUUGUAGCUUGCUAUGGUAUAACUUAGUGGCAGACGGGUGAGUAAUGUAUAGGAAUCUACCUAGUAGUACGGAAUAAUUGUUGGAAACGGCAACUAAUACCGUAUACGCCCUACGGGGGAAAAAUUUAUUGCUAUUAGAUGAGCCUAUAUUAGAUUAGCUAGUUGGUGGAGUAAUAGCCUACCAAGGCAAUGAUCUAUAGCUGAUCUGAGAGGAUGAUCAGCCACACUGGAACUGAGAUACGGUCCAGACUCCUACGGGAGGCAGCAGUGGGGAAUAUUGGACAAUGGGCGAAAGCCUGAUCCAGCCAUGCCGCAUGAGUGUAGAAGGCCUUUGGGUUGUAAAGCUCUUUUAGUGAGGAAGAUAAUGACGGUACUCACAGAAGAAGUCCUGGCUAACUCCGUGCCAGCAGCCGCGGUAAUACGGAGAGGGCUAGCGUUAUUCGGAAUUAUUGGGCGUAAAGGGCGCGUAGGCGGAUUAGUAAGUUAAAAGUGAAAUCCCAAGGCUCAACCUUGGAAUUGCUUUUAAAACUGCUAAUCUAGAGAUUGAAAGAGGAUAGAGGAAUUCCUAGUGUAGAGGUGAAAUUCGUAAAUAUUAGGAGGAACACCAGUGGCGAAGGCGUCUAUCUGGUUCAAAUCUGACGCUGAGGCGCGAAGGCGUGGGGAGCAAACAGGAUUAGAUACCCUGGUAGUCCACGCUGUAAACGAUGAAUGUUAAAUAUGGGAAGUUUUACUUUCUGUAUUACAGCUAACGCGUUAAACAUUCCGCCUGGGGACUACGGUCGCAAGAUUAAAACUCAAAGGAAUU
rnacentral:rRNA from 1 species